rnacentral:lncRNA from 1 species
CCGUAAUACCUCAUUUGCCACAUUAGAAAGUGCUUGAUAUAGUCCAAUAAAGACUGGUAUUGUAGCCAAAGUUGGUAAACAACCUAUUGUAUAACCAAAAGCAAAAUCAAAUCAAGAUUAAUUGAUUGACAUUAUACAGGAUACAAGCAAAUCCAGUGCAGUUACACAAACUUAAAAAAAGCAAAGGUUUGCUACUCGAUAAAUGUUAUGAGGUACAUGUGAUCACAGUUAAUUUCUAACUCAUGGACCGAGGUCCGGGAUUACUACAAGGAGUUGGUGAUCCAUUUCUUAAGAAGAUGGACAAUCCAUUAUUUUGACAGGGUCUAAUUCUGGUGUGUAACUAUAUUAUAAAUCAAGAAUCAACCUCUCUUGUUAAUUUGAAAAAAUUAUCAGAUUUUGUAUAAAAGUACAUGUAAGCAUACAAUACACUUGCAGAUUUUACAAUCAGAAAAGAAAGACAUAAAGCAGACCUGAAUGCACUUGUUAAGAUUGUAUUUCAUACAUAAAUGAUAUAAUAUAGCAAAUGUAUAACUUUUAACUUGGAAUUAAUUUUUAAUGUUAAAAUAAACCAAUUCAUCAGUUUACUACACAUGUGAAUGCAUAUGGCAAGAGAAUGGUUUAACUACACUUGCUAAACAUUAGGAUAUUCACUUAUGUUGACAUGCUCACAUGAACAAUUACUUGGUACAAAAAUGAAAUCAAGCAUAUGCAUCAAGUAUUUAUCACCACCUUCUAUACCAAGUGAAGAAUGAAAAUGAGCAGAAUUGUUCAUUGGGUACCCUAUAGAUCUUUUACAGUACUACUAGUACUUUUUUAAGUAUACAGAGAGGGAGUAAAGAUUCAAGCACAUCAUGUUGUGGCACAAGAGGUAACCCAAGAAUUAUAGAUAACUUAUUUGAUAGUGUAAAACGUAAGAGAAGAUUAUGCAAAAAAGAACCGGAAAGGAGGACAAGAAUUAAGAGCUAAAAAACCCACUUUUUUACGAUUACGAGGUAUGUUCAAAUAUAAACCAAUCCUGUAAUUAUACGGCAUGAGGUCAACCCUCUGCCCGUCUGCCGGGUGAAGUUAGCUUCUUUAUUGCUCUGUUCACUGUAGUCUUCUUGUAUGCAUCACCAUGUGUUCCUUAGUUAAUUAGAAUACCUAAAGUCGUGGUUCCCAGAACAAGUCGACUCCUUAGAGUAGUGCUGAUAUUUAGUAAACGAUGAACCAUUUGGAGAUCCAAUUAUUGCUUCUAUUAACUAAAGAUAUAAACUAAGUAACAUUAAACACUAUAAGUAU